CUUGGGCUUCUGCCUCCUCACACCAGAUUCCCACAGCAAAAGCAGUGCUCGGUUUCUCAGGAUCCAGGGACGUGGGAAUUCUCACGGUGACAAGGACGUUGUGCUGGGAAUAUGAUCCUUCGUGAUUCAUGGCUGGAUCCCAUCACAGGGGUCUUCUCAGAGUGAGAUAGUGAUGAGAAGAAUGUCCAUUGGGAAAUGUGUGCCGGCAUGGCCUUCAGGUUGGAAGUUAAUGAAUGAAGAUGAGCAGGAGCCCUGGAGGACCCCAGACUGAUGCCAGGGAACCACUGCUCUCGCCAUCAGAGUGUUGGCAAAGCCUUAGCAGCUGCCAGUGUCCUGCAGGAGAUCGGGAAUGGGCAGGUGCUCUGCCUUGAAUCUUGGCACUCGGUCAAUCACUCCUCUGGCUUCAGGUUGCAAGCGUAUGUCACAAGGACGUGGCAGGUUGACAGUGUGGGAUACUUUCAUGACACACAGCUUGGGAUAACUGUGUUUAUUAACUCCAACUUGCAAGGUCAGCAUCUUUUAAUUAAAGAGAGGAAGCCCUGUCCCAUGCCCAGCAGUCCGUGAGAGCAUAUAGCACUGCUGGUAGGUAUACAGUGGCAGGCACAGGUCCCCAGGGGAGGAAUGACAUCGCCAAGGACUACAGUAGUGAGAAGCUUGACCGGUUACAGCCUUUUUUGUUUAAAAUGGAAUAUUGAUUGUGACCUUGGAGGGAUAGAGGAUGCUGUAGCAGAGACCAGUCCAACUGUCCUCACUAUAUGUGAGGAAGCUUGCUUGAAAUCCUAAUGGAUAGAGGGUGCUGUAGCAGAGACCAGUCCAACUGUCCUCACUAUAUGUGGGGAAGCUUGCUUGAAAUCCUAAUGUCUAGAGCUGUCGGUCAGAUCCACAGAGCUGUAGCUCUGUCUACCUCAGAGGCCGGGUCCUGUGGACAGUUGGAUUAAGUGCACAGUGCAGUUCAGCGGCUGAAGCUCAAAACAGAGGCACUGUGGGUGAUGGAUGACCUGAAGAGUGGUCAGUAUGGAGCCUCUGCCCAUGGCAGAAGCUAGGCCUCCAGCCAGGGCCCUCAUGCAGCAGUGAGCUGCAGGACAGCCAUGGAAGCUGCCCCUCCCUGCUAUGCUGUGGCCCAGCCCCCACAGACAAACACAGCUGCUAAGGUUUGGUGAGCAUCUGCUUCCACUUUGUGUGUGUGUGUGUGUGUGUGUGUGUGUGUGUGUGUGUGUGAACACAUGUGUGCACAGGUCAUGUGGGAGCCAGAAACCAACUU